AGCGAACGCUGGCGGCAGGCCUAACACAUGCAAGUCGAGCGCCCCGCAAGGGGAGCGGCAGACGGGAGAGUAACACGUGGGAACGUACCUUUCAGUUCGGAACAACCAAGGGAAACUUUGGCUAAUACCGGAUACGCCCGUAAGGGGAAAGAUUCAUCGCUGAAGGAUCGGCCCGCGUCUGAUUAGCUAGUUGGUGGGGUAAUGGCCCACCAAGGCGACGAUCAGUAGCUGGUCUGAGAGGAUGAUCAGCCUCACUGGGACUGAGACACGGCCCAGACUCCUACGGGAGGCAGCAGUGGGGAAUAUUGGACAAUGGGCGCAAGCCUGAUCCAGCCAUGCCGCGUGGAUGAUGAAGGCCUUAGGGUUGUAAAGUCCUUUUAACGGGGAAGAUAAUGACGGUACCCGUAGAAUAAGCCCCGGCUACUUCGUGCCAGCCGCCGCCGUAAAAC
rnacentral:rRNA from 1 species